rnacentral:lncRNA from 1 species
AGUGAAUAUGCUUGGCCUAGAAUGGAGAAAUGGUUUUCAGAGAAGUCGUGUAGGUUCUUUGGGACUUUGAAGAGAGGGAGUGGCAUGUGGUCAACGCACUUCCACUGAAGAAGUUGAGUUUUGGUUUGGGGACUUUUUUGCUUUCCUUGUUAAGGGCAACAUAAGCAGCAUUUCAGGGGAUGGGCAGGCGGCUUUCUUCUGCUGGCUGGCUGACAGCGCAGGUGCUGCUGGAGCAGCAGGCACUACAGAGCCAGUGUUCUCCAGUAAGCCCUCUGCCACUGUUCUUUGCUUGUUUCACCCUUGAGGAUGGCCUGCAUGGAGAGACGGGGUUGCAUCAUGUUGUCUAGGCUGGUCUACACUCCUGGACUCAAGCGGUCUUCCCACCUCGGCCUUCUAAACUGUUGGGAUUACAAAUAGAUGAGGUCUUGCUCUGUGGCCCGGCGUGGAGUGCAGUGGUAUGACGAUAGGUCAUUGCAGCCUCAAACUCCUGAGCUCAAGCAAUCCUCCUGCCUUAGCCUCCCAAGUUGUUGGAAUUACAGGGAUUGCAGAAUCCAAAAAGAGAUAAAGUGGUUCCAGAAGGGUAAUAUUUCCAGAACAAAGCAAAGCUUACCCUCACCUGUGAGUGUAAAACUAACAUCCUCACUGUUGAUCCAACACAGUUUUCACAAUAAUGCCAGGUAUCAUUUCUUAAGGAAAAUGUUCAGGAUGGAAACCUAAAAUACCUUGAGCUUCUCUGGCAUCAGAGCACACAGCUGUUGCUAAGACCAUGGAGGAAUAUUGACUGUUCAAGGAACCACAAGAACGCAAAGAAGGAGGAACAAAUGGGGGAUGAUGAAAUAAACAGGCAGCAGGUGCACAGACUCCUCGCAAUGCAAGGCCACUGCCAGGGAAUGCUGGAGGGGUGAUGCUAGCAAUUGAAGAUUGUCUCUCCUACCCUCUUCAAUGCCUCUUUCAGCAAUAUGAAGUUAAAACCAGAUUAGUGUUGGGUCUGAAGUUCCAAAUCCUGCUGCCUCUGUGAAGUCUUUCUGCUCAUGCUAGAAGCAAUAUCACCUCUUCUAGAAUUGUAAAGUGCCAUUUUCCAUACCACUUAUAAUAUACUGUCUUGUAGAUGUUUUUCUGUCGUCUGUAUUUCAUCCCUCUAAUAGAUGAUAAAUUUCUAGAGGAUGCCUCCCACAGAAAAAGUGCUCAAUAAAUAUCUGUCAUUGGUGAAAACAGAUUAUAGAUGAUAUUUUGUUGGAAGAUUGGAGGCAAAGUCUCAAAGAUAAUAUCAUCCUCUAUGCCACUGAGAGUAUUAGUAAGGCAGUAUUUCUGAAAGAGCACUCCACCACUACCUCUGGGAUUUUCUUGCAAGCUACUGAUACCAUCUUUGCAAGAAUGGAGGCAAACAUUCAGGCUACCAGAAUUUAAUCUCUGUAAUUUCCUUGCCAACAGCCAUAAUAAAUGCUUCUUGUUUUCAGGUGAGGUGAAAUGUGAAAAAGUGUUCAUCAGAAUUGGUGAAAUAUGGCAAUUACAACUUUAUUUAAAACAAUGCACGUCACUUUUUGAAAAUAUUUGAAAACUUCUGCUAUAGUCAAAAGAACCUUGGUCUUAAGGAAUCAGAGGACCUGGGUUGAAUACUAGUUCUCUUGACUACCUAUGGCAAGUAACAUAAACUGUCUUAACUUCCUCUGAGGAAUAAGCAAUUUACCUUGUGGGGUGAUUGCAAGAAUUAAAAGAAAAUUUAAAUUCCACAAAAGCAGAAAUAAUUCUAUCCUGUUUGCCACGAUCUUUCUAUUCUCUCAAGAAGUAACAGGGACCUAGAAAGAAUAAAUGAAACAAUGAAUGAACAGUUAAUACAUAGCAAACUACAUGUAGAACUGUCUGUGUUGGAAUGUUGCCAUGGUGGAAGGCAGUAUGUUCUAGGAGAAAAUGCAGCAAAAAAUGUUUCAGUAAGGAACAUUCUUUAGUCCCUCUCUCUAUUUUUCCCCAGUCAUUUUGUGGUUUUGGCUGCUAUUGGCUUGUAUCUGCUUCCCAAAUGCUAGUAAUUUCUUCCAAUCUAAAGUUGCUUGUUUAUUUUCUUGUAUAUUGUAAAACAAAGGCAACAUAAUUGCAGGCCAGAAAGCUAUUUUCUCACUCUUGAAUUCUUAAAAAUGUCAUUUGUUCUAGGUUUUUUUCGCAUGUAUUUAUUAUUGAAAUAUUAAGAGACACAAAAAACAUGGAAAAGAAAAAAAUCAUUAUUUCAAAUUCCUAACCUAGAGAGAAUAAUUACUAAUACUUUUUCUUACUUAAUUGGCA